UUUUAAGUAAUUUUUAUACCCAAUAUGGGGCUCAAACUCACAACCCCAAGAUCAAGAGUCACAUGCUCCACUGGCUGAGACAGCUGGGUGCCCCUACUUGACUUAUUUUGAGAAU